ACUGUCAAUCUUUUGUGAGAAACCCAUAAGAGCAGAAGAUGGGUCGCUCAGCAGCAGUACCUGGAUUUGGGAACUCAUUACUGGUGGAGAUUAGGAUGACCACAAAUCUCUCUGGCUUUAAAGCAAAGCAAAGCGAAAAACUUACUUCCUUGGCUUAGUUCUCACUUUUUCAUGUUCUCCAGAUGAAGGUGAGAAAGAAGAAGAGAGAGGAAAGAAGCAAAGGAAAAAGGAAGACUGAGAGAAGAAAGCAAACAGAGGGAAGAGAUGGGAAGAUGGUAGACAAUGCCCUUAGAAGGACCCUCACUGAGAGAUCCAACUUGUUUAUGGGUUUAAAGACUGGAGGUGACCAUUCUAACCAUUAGUACACCUUCAGUGGAAAAUAUGCAUGUAUCACCUGAUAAUUCCUGUAUCAAGUCCACUAUUUCAAUGUGAUUGAGAGUAUGACUUUUUCAAAGACCAUGAAGAAUGCAUCCAAUAAUGCAAGUAGAUUUAGAAGAGGAAACUCUGGAUUUCAGCGCUUAACUUCAAGGAAACCAAGACUGUUCUUCUUCAUUGGAAAAAUGGGAAGACAGCUCUCAGAGAAGGGAAUGGGUGCCCAGAUCGCAACUUGUUUGAAGCAUUGCCACCCAAAAAGACACAAGCAAACAGACUUCAGGACUUCCAGUGAAGACAACCAGAAAAACAGUGCUAACCAAAGCGUUCUAAAAGGAAACAGUGAGGAAGGUCUCUUCAGAAGUGCAAAACUCAACUAAAAUAAAACUCUAAUGAAGAAACA
rnacentral:lncRNA from 1 species